rnacentral:rRNA from 1 species
UACAGAGGUCUCAAGCGUUGUUCGGAUUCAUUGGGCGUAAAGGGUGCGUAGGCGGCGCGGUAAGUCGGGUGUGAAAUCUCGGAGCUUAACUCCGAAACUGCAUUCGAUACUGCCGGUGCUUGAGGACUGGAGAGGAGACUGGAAUUUACGGUGUAGCGGUGAAAUGCGUAGAUAUCGUAAGGAAGACCAGUGGCGAAGGCGGGUCUCGUGGACAGUUCCUGACGCUGAGGCACGAAGGCCAGGGGAGCAAACGGGG